AACGAACGCUUGCUGCAUGCUUUAUACAUGCAAGUCGAACGGAGGCCCUAGCUUGCUAGGUGUCCUUAGUGGCGCACGGGUGAGUAACACGUGGGAACAUACCUCAUAGUACGGAAUAACUGCGGGAAACUGUAGCUAAUACCGUAUAUUCCAGCAAUGGGAAAGAUUUAUCGCUAUGAGAUUGGCCCGCGCAAGAUUAGUUUGUUGGUAAGGUAAUGGCUUACCAAGACUACGAUCUUUAGCUGGUUUGAGAGGAUGAUCAGCCACACUGGGACUGAGACACGGCCCAGACUCCUACGGGAGGCAGCAGUAGGGAAUAUUGGACAAUGGGGGAAACCCUGAUCCAGCAAUGCAGCGUGAGUGACGAAGGCCUUAGGGUUGUAAAACUCUUUCAUCGGUGAGGAUAAUGACAGUAGCCGAAGAAGAAGGACCGGCUAAUUCCGUGCCAGCAGCCGCGGUAAUACGGAAGGUCCUAGCGUUGUUCGGAAUUACUGGGCGUAAAGCGCAUGUAGGCGGAACAGAAAGUUAGAAGUGAAAUCCCUGGGCUCAACCUAGGAAUUGCUUUUAAAACUUCUGUUCUGGAAUUCAGGAGAGGAAAAUGGAAUAUCCAGUGUAGAGGUGAAAUUCGUAGAUAUUGGAUGGAACACCAGUGGCGAAGGCGAUUUUCUGGACUGAUAUGACGCUGA
rnacentral:rRNA from 1 species